GGAGAGGUGCCGGAGCGGUUUAACGGGACGGCCUCGAAAGUCGUUGUCCUCGCAAGGGGACCGGGGGUUCAAAUCCCUCCCUCUCCG
rnacentral:tRNA from 1 species